rnacentral:rRNA from 1 species
GGUUCGAUUAUGGCUCAGAUUGAACGCUGGCGGGAUGCUUUACACAUGCAAGUCGAACGGCAGCACGGACUUCGGUCUGGUGGCGAGUGGCGAACGGGUGAGUAAUGUAUCGGAACGUGCCUAGUAGCGGGGGAUAACUACGCGAAAGCGUAGCUAAUACCGCAUACGCUCCUUCGGGGGAAAGCGGGGGGACCUUCGGGCCUCGCACUAUUAGAGCGGCCGAUAUCGGAUUAGCUAGUUGGUGGGGUAACGGCUCAUCAAGGCGACGAUCCGUAGCUGGUUUGAGAGGACGACCAGCCACACUGGGACUGAGACACGGCCCAGACUCCUACGGGAGGCAGCAGUGGGGAAUUUUGGACAAUGGGGGAAACCCUGAUCCAGCCAUCCCCGCGUGUGCGAUGAAGGCCUUCGGGUUGUAAAGCACUUUUGGCAGGAAAGAAACGGCACGGGAUAAUACCCCGUGCAACUGACGGUACCUGCAGAAUAAGCACCGCAUAACUACGUGCCAGCAGCCGCGGUAAUACGUAGGGUGCAAGCGUUAAUCGGAAUUGGGCGUAAAGCGUGCGCAGGCGGUUCGGAAAGAAAGAUGUGAAAUCCCAGAGCUUAACUUUGGAACUGCAUUUUUAACUACCGAGCUAGCGUGUGUCAGAGGGAGGUGAAUCGCGUGUAGCAGUGAAAUGCGUAGAUAUGCGGAGGAACACCGAUGGCGAAGGCAGCCUCCUGGGAUAACACUGACGCUCAUGCACGAAAGCGUGGGGAGCAAACAGGAUUAGAUACCCUGGUAGUCCACGCCCUAAACGAUGUCAACUAGCUGUUGGGGCCUUCGGGCCUUGGUAGCGCAGCUAACGCGUGAAGUUGACCGCCUGGGGAGUACGGUCGCAAGAUUAAAACUCAAAGGAAUUGACGGGGACCCGCACAAGCGGUGGAUGAUGUGGAUUAAUUCGAUGCAACGCGAAAACCUUACCUACCCUUGACAUGUCUGGAAUCCCGAAGAGAUUUGGGAGUGCUCGCAAGAGAACCGAACACAGGUGCCGUAUGGCUGUCGUCAGCUCGUGUCGAGAUGUUGGGUUAAGUCCCGCAACGAGCGCAACCCUUGUCAUUAGUUGCUACGAAAGGGCACUCUAAUGAGACUGCCGGUGACAAACCGGAGGAAGGUGGGGAUGACGUCAAGUCCUCAUGGCCCUUAUGGGUAGGGCUUCACACGUCAUACAAUGGUCGGGACAGAGGGUCGCCAACCCGCGAGGGGAGCCAAUCCCAGAAACCCGAUCGUAGUCCGGAUCGCAGUCUGCAACUCGACUGCGUGAAGCCUGGAAUCGCCAGUAAUCGCGGAUCAGCAUGUCGCGGUGAAUACGUUCCCGGGUCUUGUACACACCGCCCGUCACACCAUGGGAGUGGGUUUUACCAGAAGUAGUUAGCCUAACCGUAAGGAGGGCGAUUACCACGGUAGGAUUCAUGACUGGGGUGAAGUCGUAACAAGGUAG